rnacentral:rRNA from 1 species
GGACCUGACUGCUAUCGGAUUGAUACUAAGCCAUGCGAGUCAUUGUAGCAAUACAAGGCAGACGGCUCAGUAACGCGUAGUCAACCUACCCUAUGGACGGGAAUAACCUCGGGAAACUGAGUAUAAUGCCCGAUAGAACAUUAUACCUGGAAUGGUUUAUGUUCCAAAUGAUUUAUCGCCGUAGGAUGGGACUGCGGCCUAUCAGUUUGUUGGUGAGGUAAUGGCCCACCAAGACUAUUACAGGUACGGGCUCUGAGAGGAGUGGCCCGGAGAUGGGUACUGAGACACGGACCCAGGCCCUAUGGGGCGCAGCAGGCGAGAAAACUUUGCAAUGUGCGAAAGCACGACAAGGUUAAUCCGAGUGGUUUCUGCUAAAGGAACCUUUUGUCAGUCCUAGAAACACUGAUGAAUAAGGGGUGGGCAAGUUCUGGUGUCAGA